rnacentral:rRNA from 1 species
UUGACCUCAAAUCAGGUAGGACUACCCGCUGAACUUAAGCAUAUCAAUAAGCGGAGGAAAAGAAACUAACAAGGAUUCCCCUAGUAACUGCGAGUGAAGCGGGAAGAGCUCAAAUUUUGAAUCUGGCAGUCCUUGGCUGUCCGAGUUGUAAUCUAGAGAAGUGUUUUCCGCGCCGGACCGUGUAUAAGUCUCCUGGAAGGGAGCGUCAUAGAGGGUGAGAAUCCCGUCUUUGACACGGACUACCAGUGCUAUGUGAUGCGCUCUCGACGAGUCGAGUUGUUUGGGAAUGCAGCUCAAAACGGGUGGUAAACUCCAUCUAAAGCUAAAUACAGGCGAGAGACCGAUAGCGAACAAGUACCGUGAGGGAAAGAUGAAAAGAACUUUGGAAAGAGAGUUAAACAGUACGUGAAAUUGCUGAAAGGGAAACGCUUGAUGUCAGUCACGUCGGCUGGGGAUCAACCUUGCUUCUCGCUGGGUGUACUUCCCGGUCGACGGGUCAGCAUCAGUUUUGGUCGCCGUACAAGGGCGAGAGGAACGUGGCACUCUUCGGAGUGUGUUAUAGCCUUUCGUCGUAUGCAGUGGUCAGGACUGAGGAGUGCUCAGCACGGCUUCUUGCUUGUGCUUAGGAUGCUGGCAUAAUGGCCUUAAGCGACCCGUCUUAAAACACGG